UUCGGUAUGGUGUAAUUGGCAGCACAACGGAUUCUGGUUCCGUUAGUCCUGGUUCAAGUCCAGGUACCGAAA
rnacentral:tRNA from 2 species